CCUUUCAGAGCAUUUUCUAGUUUUCCUACCUGCGUUUUGUAAGCCCCUCUUGUCAGAUGAAAGAAGUUGUGCCAAAAGUGACUGAUUUUUCUUCAUGGGGGAGAAGCAAGAGUAGCUUUUCUCCUCCAACCGUGCUUCCUAGAGGUUUGCGGAUUCUAGAUGCAGCAAGUCACCUCUUCCUCAGGCUCACUCACUGACAAGCCCCUUCCAAAGCAUACAGGAACUUACUCAGGCACCAAUGCGACAGCUAAAACAGAAUUACCCUUGCACCCCAGGUACCAUUGAUCGGAGAAAUGUGAAAGCAAAGGGAUGCAUUAUUAUCUGAAUCACAGUGAUAUCAACAAGCAAAAAG